rnacentral:rRNA from 1 species
CCUACGGGGGGCUGCAGUGGGGAAUAUUGGACAAUGGGGGGAACCCUGAUCCAGCCAUGCCGCGUGUGUGAAGAAGGCCCUCGGGUUGUAAAGCACUUUCAGUGAGGAAGAACGCCUGGUGGUUAAUACCCAUCAGGAAAGACAUCACUCACAGAAGAAGCACCGGCUUACUCCGUGCCAGCAGCCGCGGUAAUACGGAGGGUGCGAGCGUUAAUCGGAAUUACUGGGCGUAAAGCGCGCGUAGGUGGCUUGAUAAGCCGGUUGUGAAAGCCCCGGGCUCAACCUGGGAACGGCAUCCGGAACUGUCAAGCUAGAGUGCAGGAGAGGAAGGUAGAAUUCCCGGUGUAGCGGUGAAAUGCGUAGAGAUCGGGAGGAAUACCAGUGGCGAAGGCGGCCUUCUGGACUGACACUGACACUGAGGUGCGAAAGCGUGGGUAGCAAACAGGAUUAGAUACCCCUGUAGUC